ACCUGCAAGUCUCAGUUUCAAGUAAUCAACUCUUUACAUUCAUUAAAAAGGGCGUGACCUUUCCACCAAAGAUAUCUCCAUCAGGUAUAACGGGCUCGGUGUUUGGGAGGCUGUUUUAGUGUUUAAUUAGGUGAGGCUCAAGUGUUUGUGGGUAUCAGCGAUAUCAAAAAAAAAAAAAUGCAAAACAUUAUGCAAAAUCGCUGGAGAGACCGAGUAUAUUGAUAACCAUGUUUUCGAACUGCUCAAGUCUCAAAUGAUCAAAACCCAACAAAUCUCAAACUCUAACCCCAAAUUUAAACAAUGCAUCAUCUCUAGUACACAAAAUAAAAAUAAAAUGUCUAAAUCAAAUCUACUGAAUGAGAUAUAAACAU
rnacentral:lncRNA from 1 species